UGGAAAUAUGUGUAACACAGGCUUGUAGU
rnacentral:piRNA from 1 species